GUUUUGGAAAAAUCAAUUAUUGUUGUCUAGUGGAAUGAAGAACGUCAAGAGUCCUUCUAUUCUAAUAUAGAAAUGAAUGCUUUUGACAUUUAAAUUUAUAUGUGUGUGCUAGAAAGUCUCCAAAGAUAGACACUAAUUUCUUCCUUUUAUCUACAUUUGUGUUGCAUUAUCAUUCAAGAGGUAGAGCCUAUUUCUGUUUCUCUUGAAUUUGGGCUGACCUUGUGGCUUGCUUUGCCGAAUACAAUGCAGCUCAAAUAAUGCUAUGCUGAUCCUUGGCCUAGCCCUUUAGAGGGUUAGUAACUUCCACUUUCUUUCUUGAAGCCAGCUGCUAUAUAAAAGUCUGAUUUUCCUGAGACCACCAUGCUGUGAGGAGCUCUGAGCUAGGCAUGUGGCAUGGUCAUGUGGAAGAGCAAUGAAGUGCCAGACAUGUGAGUUAAGUCUUCUGGGAUCUUUCAGUCAAGCUUCAGAAGCAGAUGCUGAGCCUCAAAUCUGCUAGGAUUGUCCUGAAUGAGAGUCUUAUCUCCUGCAGAGAAAGAGCUGAAAUUGUUGAAAAACAGACACAAGUUCUUAUCAUCAGCAUGAAAGAAACAGAAUGAAGGUGGACACAAGCAAAGCUCUGUCAGAUUUCAUCUACCAUCAAAAUCUCAACUUCUAUAGAUCAGAAGAUGUUUGCUCUAGCCCAGUACUUCAUAUUCCAGGCUGAGAUGCCUCCCAAUAGUGCAUACAUGAAAAUUCUGCUCCACCUGGUGAGAGAUGAGGAUCCAGUUUUAUUCUCUGGCCUGGUGUUUGCUUCAGCUCAAGAGUUCAAGACCAGCCUGGGCAACAUGGUGAAACUCCAUAUCUCCCUCACCCCAGCAAAAAAAAGUUUACUCCUGCCAACGGUAAGUUUGUGUUCUACCUUCUCACUCAUAUUUGGUAUUGUGAAGACUUGGAUUCUAGCCAUAGUAAUAGGUGUGUAUUUCACUGUUACUUUAAUUUGCAAUUCCAUGGUGAUGAAAUUUUAAUUUUUGCACUUCAAAAGUAUUUUUGUAUGUUGUGAAAAAUAUUUUUUCCCAGUCUGCGACUUGUCUUUUGAUUCUCUUAAGUGUCUUUCAUAGAGGAGAAUUUUUAAUUUCAUUUUCUAAUUUAUCAAAUCAUUUUAAUAGUUUUUUUUUUUUUUUUUGAGACGGAGUCUUACUCUGUCACCAGGCUGGAGUGCAGUGGUGCAAUCUCAGCUCACUGCAACCUCCGCCUGGGUUCAAGUGAUUCUUCCGCCUCAGCCUCCCGAGUAGCUGGGACCACUGCCACCACGCCCAGCUAAUUUUUGUAUUUUUAGUAGAGACGGGGUUUCACCAUGGCCAGGAUGGUCUCGACCUCUUGACCUCGUGAUCUGCUGGCCUCGGCCUCCCAAAGUGAAUAGAUAUUUUUAAUAUUGUCUAAAACACAUCACCAAAUCCAAGCCUGGAUUUUUUUUGUUGUUGUUCUAGAAGUUUUAUGGUAUUACGUUGUACAUUUAUGUCUACGAUCUAUUUUGGCUGAAGUUUUGUAAAAGGUCU
rnacentral:lncRNA from 13 species